rnacentral:rRNA from 1 species
UUCGGCGGCCAUAGCGUGAGGGAAACGCCCGGUUACAUUCCGAACCCGGAAGCUAAGCCUCACAGCGCCGAUGGUACUGCAGGGGGGACCCUGUGGGAGAGUAGGACACCGCCGGACUUCUUUUCAGUGAAAUGGCCACCCAACGUUGGGUGGCCAUUU